GAUGAAGAACGUAGUGAAAUGCGAUACUUGGUGUGAAUUGCAGAAUCCCGUGAACCAUCGAGUCUUUGAACGCAAGUUGCGCCCGAAGCCAUUAGGCCGAGGGCACGCCUGCCUGGGUGUCACACACCGUUACCCUCGCGCCAACGUCCAUCGUUGGCCGCGGCGCGGGGCGUGCGCUGACCUCCCGCGAGCGGGGUCUCGUGGUUGGUUGAAAAUCGAGUUCGCGGUCGAGGGUGCCGUGAUGAAAUGGUGGAUGGGCGACGCCCGAGGCCAAUCACGCGCGACUCUGUCCGGCCCGGACUCCUGGACCCCUUCGGCGUCUCCGGACGCUCUUUGGCGAGACCUCAGGUCAGGCGGGGCUACCCGCUGAGUUUAAGCAUAUCAAUAAGCGGAGGA
rnacentral:misc_RNA from 1 species